UCCGGGUGCUCCAGUUUCCUCCCACAAUCGAAAAAUGUGCAGAUUUUGGGAGGUAUGAGUUUUGAAUUAUGAGCACGAUUCUUCCUCCCUCGAAGUGAUGAAAAGGGAAAUUAAUGAGUAUCUUUGCCCUGCUGCUCUGGAAGAAAAGGAAUUUAACAUUGGAAUUCAGAUGGUGCACUACUGAAUGAAUUAAAAAGUCAAAAAGCAAAUUAUAAUUAAUCACAUGCUGCCAAAUAAAGACAGAACUAUUGAUUGCCCUUUCCUGUACUGGUGGCAUUCAAACCGCAGACAGACAAAUGCUCCAAACUAAAUCAGGUCAUGCUGCAUGCCAAGAGGAAAUAUGAAAGGAUCUGGACUGAAUUAUCUCGUGCAGAACCUUGAAACCAGCAACAA